AAAAGAAGGAUGCUGGCCGUAGAGGGACGUAUUCAUAGAAGUGAACAGCAAUUGUGCAGCUUUUGCAGAUGUGCAGGAGAAAGCCUGCCUCCUCCCAUCAGCCGGAGAGUCUGCGAAGACUUGUGAGGAAGUCUUUGCAAGAUCUUCAGCCCUUUGCUAAAGGAGAUGGAAAUUCCAGCCCAGCAGUAAAGAGAUCCUUCAAUAAAGAAAUAACCAACCAGGAUAUCAAACUGUUUGACAAUGUGAGAUGUUUGAGGUGUAGACAUGACCAUCAAGAUGCAUCUUUGGAUUCAGAAAGAUCUAACUAUUGUGCUGUGUGGAGAACAUCAAGACAUAAUAUGGAUGAUGAUUUUCACCUCUGGAAAACAGUAUUGGGAGCUGGAUGUGGGCCAGGUCUUGGGAGUAAGCUCUAGGAGUCUAUAAGGAUUCUUGGAUAAGGAAGAAUGACCUGCUGAUGGAAUCUGAGGAUACAUUUCUUCUUUUAUAUGUGAAAGAGAGUAAUUGUUACACUUUCCUGUCCAGUUUCCCAGUGUUUGUCAAUAAAGAAAUCUCUGGGCCAGUUG
rnacentral:lncRNA from 1 species